GAGAACAAAAAACUAAUUUGCUGAAAUCUUUAUUCCCUUCUAUGACCUUGUGGAAGAUCAAGAUUUGGCCACCCUGAAAUCUAUCUCUUUACCUUGGUUGUUUUCUCUGAGGGCAUUUGACCUCCCCCACUAACUGCCUAAAGAAUUUAAAACAAAACAUCUGUUUCAGGAAGGAGUUAUUAUCAUGAUGGCUGUAAAUAUAAUGUACAAUAGAUGUUACAAUAGAAAAGGCACCAACAAGCCCAUCUUAUCAGAAUUUCUGUCUCUGGCAAUAUUCUUUGGAUGGCCCUGCAAGGAGUUGCCAGACAGACAUUUACAUUUAUAAGGGAAAUCUCCAUUUGUAAAGGUAUCUGCCUCUCUGAAGUGGGAAGAGGGGGAAUGACCUCAUUUCUAGAAACUUAUCAAUGUAAAAGGUGAGGCCUUAAAUCUGCAUAAUAACCUCACUCUUGUUUACUGUGCUUUAGUGGUAAUCUCCUGUAACUGACUCCCCCCACCCCCAACAUCCUCCUUUGUCAUCGGCUGAACAUGAUAUUUAAGACGAGAAUUCUGCUAUUGUGUUGAGAAACGCAGUGUCCCUGCUUUCUCCCAUGCAUACAUGUUAUUAAACUUGGUAUUAUUUUCUCCUUCUAACCUGUCUUGUUAAUUAUUUGGCCAGACAUAAGAACCUUAAGGAAAAGGGGACAGGGAGAUUCUCCCUCUCUCCCGACAACCCUAUCUUUACCUGCAAAAUCUCAGCCCUGAAUGAAUGUCACAUUCCUCCUUUUGCAUCCCCGGGGAACAGGGCAAAUAAGCUCAUCUGAAACCUCAACUGCCCAGCCUGUGAAAUAAGGCUGGCCAUCCAUUCUCACAGAGGAGCCAACUGGAGGUGGUGUCACAUUAGAACACCCUCAUCUCUGAAGAUCUUUGCAUUAAGGAACUCUACCUUUGCCCUUGAUCAACUGAACUCAGAGUUAUGAUAAACUCAGAGACCUACAUGGAACAAUGUUUUCUACGUCUUAUCUCCCAUGAGUAGUUCAUGUCAGGGAGUAUAGUCCACCAAGUAAACACUAAGCAGUGUCUCAAAAGCAUCGGAUUCUAAAAGGAGGACAUGCAGGGCUGGGUGUGGACCGCCAUUCAGUGCCUUAGUGCAAAGAAGAAAGAGAUCAGACAUCAAUAUUCCUGAUCAGUCCACCAAGAAGAAACUGGGACUUUAU